GCGGGAGUAACUCAGCGGUAGAGUGCGACCUUGCCAAGGUCGAAGUCGCGGGUUCGAAUCCCGUCUCCCGCUCCA
rnacentral:tRNA from 1 species